CCUUCACCGAGCUGCGUCCCUGUCUCAAAGAACUAUCUGUCAUUAUCUGGUCCAAGCAGGAGCCUCGCUCAUCAAGACAGACCUACAGGAUGAUGAGAUCAACCAACAGAGUCUGGUUGAGAAACUCAAGGAGCAGAAGAUGGACACAAAUCCGUUUGUACAUCUCCACAAAACUCUGGAGGCACCACAAGCAGCUCAGCCGCCUCAGACACCAGAUCCAAGACCAGCAGAGGAUGAUGGACGAGCUCAUUCAUUUACAAUCAUAAACUACUUCAAUUAGAAGUGCCAGAUUUGAUCCACUCAAGCAGACAUCAACAUUAACUCUGGCCACAUUAUACAUUUUAUUUUCCUCCUUUUUGUUUGAACCAGGGCCUGUUACUGGAGCAGACUCAUGACAGACAGCUGGAGAAAGAUGCAACACUACAGAAGCUCAUACUGCUGAAUGAUCAGAGGAUCUGAAGGGCCUCCAGGACACAGUUCCCAGACCGAGACCUUCAAAAUGUGGACUCUGAUUGGCCUGUUUUUGUUAACGAUGCUGAGGUUACCAAAGCAACAGAUCACAAAAGUUCAA